AGAGAACAGUCAUUGUGUCUCAAGAGAACGGUUUGGUUUGGCUUGGCUUGGCUUUGGAAAUUGAAUUAAAAUUGGGCUUUCAGAAAAUUGUUUGUGUUCUAAUUUUGGGCGAUUUUUUCGAAGAUCGAUUGCUGUUUAUGUUCAAUCAUUUUUGCAAAAAUGAAUAUGUUGGUGAUGAGAUUUGCUGCGACUAUUCUGCUGAGUUCAAUUGUUACUAUAAAAACAUACACGUGUCAAUUAGUGGGACCACCGGGAGAAAAAGGCGAUCCAGGGUUUGUUGGGCUCCCAGGAAUGAGGGGACUGAGGGCCUGUCAAAACAGUAAUCUAGUACAUCAAUCGAUGACAGCAGUGGAUUGCAGUGAAUAGCAUUGAAUGCAGUACUAGAUUACUGCUUUCCCCCUUGCCUUUCACAGCUAGAAAACCGUUCUGAAAAUAUAUUGGUAGCUUCAUGACGAUGAAGCAAGACUUUCAGCCAGUUUUGAGCGAUAUCUCGUGGAGGCAAAUUGAGUUAUUAUCAAAAAUGUCACCAAUCAUGGAAAAAACUCGAAAAGUGAUGACCAAAAAAAGACAAAAAAUGUUAGUAGCAAGGGAGUUGACCUGUUCAGUCCAAGUCUUCAGAAAAUCAACAUAUUGAGAAUCCUUACUCCCAAAUCAAAGAAAAUGUGAUUUUCUACCGAUCUAGACACUUGCAUUACCUCCUAUCACCCAUAUGGUCGACCUACCACUAUAAACGUCAGCGAUCAACAUCAACAGAGACACUAUAGCACAUAGCAUUAAACGCACUAUUGCUUCACUCUUUGUAAACACUUUGACAUCACUUAUGCUUUGG